UGGGGGAUAUUGCACAAUGGGCGAAAGCCUGAUGCAGCGACGCCGCGUGGGGGAUGAAGGCUUUCGGGUUGUAAACCUCUUUCGCUAUCGAACAAGGCCCGCUUAGGGUGGGUUGAGGGUAGGUGGAGAAGAAGCGCCGGCUAACUACGUGCCAGCAGCCGCGGUAAUACGUAGGGCGCGAGCGUUGUCCGGAAUUAUUGGGCGUAAAGGGCUUGUAGGCGGCUUGUUGCGCCUGCUGUGAAAACGCGGGGCUUAACUUCGCGCGUGCAGUGGGUACGGGCAGGCUUGAGUGUGGUAGGGGUGACUGGAAUUCCAGGUGUAGCGGUGGAAUGCGCAGAUAUCUGGAGGAAUACCGAUGGCGAAGGCAGGUCACUGGGCCAUUACUGACGCUGAGGAGCGAAAGCAUGGGUAGCGAACAGG
rnacentral:rRNA from 1 species